UCCAGCGGUAGUCAUCUGUCCAGCGCUUUCCAUGCCUGUGACUGUGUUACACCGCUGGGAGAUAAGGUCACUGCUGCCUGAUGCUGAUGUGCUUUGUUGCCGUUCUGGUGACGUCACAUUUGCCUUUAGCAGUGCUGUGAUUCCUCGAGAGUGCGCCUUGUAAGUACUUCUAUUCGGUGCUAGUCUGGAAUUACACAGU